AUUGAACGCUGGCGGCAGGCCUAACACAUGCAAGUCGAGCGGAUGAAGGGAGCUUUCUCCUGGAUUCAGCGGCGGACGGGUGAGUAAUGCCUAGGAAUCUGCCUGGUAGUGGGGGAUAACGUCCGGAAACGGGCGCUAAUACCGCAUACGUUCUGAGGGAGAAAGUGGGGGAUCUUCGGACCUCACGCUAUCAGAUGAUCCUAGGUCGGAUUAGCUAGUUGGUGGGGUAAAGGCCUACCAAGGCGACGAUCCGUAACUGGUCUGAGAGGAUGAUCAGUCACACUGGAACUGAGACACGGUCCAGACUCCUACGGGAGGCAGCAGUGGGGAAUAUUGGACAAUGGGCGAAAGCCUGAUCCAGCCAUGCCGCGUGUGUGAAGAAGGUCUUCGGAUUGUAAAGCACUUUAAGUUGGGAGGAAGGGCAGUAAGUUAAUACCUUGCUGUUUUGACGUUACCAACAGAAUAAGCACCGGCUAACUUCGUG
rnacentral:rRNA from 1 species